UACAACAAGACAGGAGGUUUGUCAAGUGAGUGUUUGGCUCUAAGAAAAUUCUAUUAAAUCUCAAUAAUUACUCUUCUUUCUCUACAACAAGACAGGAGGCUUAUCAAGUGAGUGUUUGGCUCUAAGAAAAUUCCACUAAGUCUCAAUAAUUACUCUUCUUUCUCUACAACAAGACAGGAGGUUUGUCAAGUGAGUGUUUGGCUCUAAGAAAAUUCCACUAAGUCUCAAUAAUUACUCUUCUUUCUCUACAACAAGACAGGAGGUUUGUCAAGUGAGUGUCUGGCUCUAACAGUGUCUUGAUAACAGUGUGGUGGUCAAGAAGGCAGGCGACUCGUGAUGAAAAAUGGUUUGUUUUUUAUCAAUUAUGUAAAUGUUAUGGAAUGAACAAAUGAUAACAUACUGGAUAAACGUCUCACCAGAGCAUUCUCAAAAUUAGUAACAGCAAAACAACGUACUUAAAACACAUUCCAGGAUAAAAAUAUUCUCGGGUAGCGAAGAAAAAUGUGAAAAAUGUAAAAAUGUCUUGCUGGAAUUGAAACUGGGAGAUGACUUGUAAAUAAACAUAUGGAACUCAAGCGCUGACUCACAAGCUAAGCAGCAUCUAAACUUAAAUGGAGGUAAACAAAACCAUGAACAACCAACUACAGAUGCCAAUAUGUUCAUGUGUCUUGUAGUGGUGGUGUGUGGUGGUGCAUGGAAGGAGCUACGUGACUGAGGCUGUCCUGGAGUGUGGCGAGGCAGGACUUAGAGAGAGAGGGGCAGAGGCUUGCUGAGAGGAGUUAGCAGAUCACAGUGGUAUGGCUGCUAGAAAGGGGGCUGAGGGGGGCUGGAUGGGGCUAUAAGGAGCCUAAUACCUCCCUAAAUAAAAGAUGACCCUUCCAUUCCUCUUCCUAGCUGGACCACUGACUGAGAGAGUUAGCAGAUCACAGUGGUAUGGCUGCCAGAAAGGGGGGCUGAGGGGGGCUGAAUGGGGCUAUAAGGGGGCUAAUACCUCCCUAAAUAAAAGAUGACCCUUCCAAUCCCCUUCCUAGCUGGACCACUGACUGAGAGAGUUAGCAGAUCACAGUGGUAUGGCUGCUAGAAAGGGGGCUGAGGGGGGCUGGAUGGGGCUAUAAGGGGGCUAAUACCUCCCUAAAUAAAAGAUGACCCUUCCAUUCCUCUUCCUAGCUGGACCACUGACUGAGAGAGAAAGAGAGAGAGAGAGACAGGAGGGAAGGGAAGGAACGGAAUAAGUCUUAGAAACAGAGGAAAGGAGAGGAAUAAGAUCAAGCAACAAAGGAAAGGAGAAGGAAAUGAAGAAGAAAAGAUAAAGAGGAAAGUGAGCAGAGAAGAGAAAUCAACACAAGGGUGAGUGAGUGAAAGAGUGAGUAAGUAGGGUAAGCAGGUAGGUGGGUAGGUAGGUAAUGUAGGUGGACACAGCAGGUUAGUUAUGUAGAGCAGGAGGAACAGAGAGAAAAAAGGAGAGAAGAAUAAAUCAGCAGAGUGUGAACGAAUGAGAGGAGCAGGUGGGCAAGUAGGUAGGUAAGCAGGUAGGUGAGUAGGUAGGUAAUGUAGGUGGACACAGCAGGUUAGUUAUGUAGAGCAGGAGGAACAAAGAGAGAAAAAAGAAGAGAAGAAUAAAUCAGCAGAGUGUGAACGAAUGAGAGGAGCAGGUGGGCAAGUAGGUAGGUAAGCAGGUAGGUGAGUAGGUAGGUAAUGUAGGUGGACACAGCAGGUUAGUUAUGUAGAGCAGGAGGAACAGAGAGAGAAAAGAGAAGAGAAGAAUAAAUCAGCAGAGUGUGAACGAAUGAGAGGAGCAGGUGGGCAAGUAGGUAGGUAAGCAGGUAGGUGAGUAGGUAGGUGAGUAGGUAGGAAGGCAGGGAGGUGGGUAAGCAGGUAAUGGAGGGUAAGGACACAGCAGGUUAGCCCCUUCACUCCGAUGACGCCAACGUUAGCGUCCGACGGGCGUCACCGUAUGGAGAGGGUUAGUCCUCUUCUAACCCUCUUAAUCCUCUUCCAUUUCCUCUUAAUCCUCUUCUAAACCCCUUAAGAGGAAAUGGAAGAGAAUUAAGAGGAAUUUACAGGAGGAUUGAGAGGUUAAGAAGAUGAUCAAUCCUCUUCUAUUUCCUCUUAAUCCUCUUCUAAACCCCUUAAGAGGACAUGGAAGAGGAUUAAGAGGAAUUCAGAGGAGGAUUGAGAAGU